CUUCUUCAACUUGCUGAGGGCAAAUAAAAUGAAUAUGCGCAUCAAUACCACCCGCAGUGAUUAUUUGCCCUUCACCAGCAAUAACCUCUGUACCUGGGCCAACUUCAAUAUCAAUAUUGUCUUGAACGUCAGGAUUACCAGCUUUACCAAUAAUGGCGAUACGGCCAUCUUUAACACCGAUAUCGGCUUUAACUAUGCCCCAGUGAUCUAAAAUCAGCGCAUUGGUGAUGACCAAAUCAACGGUUUUAUGGCACGAUGCUUGGCUUUGCCCCAUACCGUCGCGAAU
rnacentral:sRNA from 1 species